rnacentral:lncRNA from 1 species
AUUAUAACUAUCAAUGCAUGGUACAAUUGCCAAGAAUUCAAUUAACGCAAUUGUGAUAAACAACCUUCACUACUCAUGAAUAUAAACUUGUAACGAUUAGGUGAAACUCAUUUAUAUUCUAGCAUCUAAUUCAUGCAUGAAAAUUAAGUAUGCAUCCUUAAUAAACAUACAAGAAUCAUUUAUAAAUAAAAUAGAUAAUUGAAUUGCAAUCACAACUUAUCAAAUCUCAAUUGGAAGAAAUCAAUAUCUCAAGCAUGUUCAUGGCUUCAAACUUCCCCCUAACUAAAUGGGGGUUUAGCCACUCAUAAUUGCAACAAAAUCAGAAAAUGAAUUUAACAUUGGAAACAAAAGAAAGAAAACACCUAAACGCUCAAACGAUCCAAGUUGGACAGCAAGCACGUCCAAGCACUUUCCUUCCCUUCCUUUGCUACGGCACAAGGUGUUGGUAAGUGUUUGAAGGUUUGUUUGUAUGGAGGAAUGGAUGUGUUUGGAUUCAUAUAUGUCUCUUUGAUGAAGGGUGGAUGAAUGUAUUUAUAGGCUAGGAAGAUGAUGUAGUGGGUGGUGGUAAUGAGUGGAUGUAGUGGUAGGUGAAUGUGUUGGGUGGUUGAAAUGAGUGGAUGUAGUGGUAGGUGAAUGUGUUGGGUGAUUGUAAUGAGUGGAUGUAUUAGGUGAAAUGAGUGUAUGUAUUAGGUGAAAUGAGUGUAUGUAGUGGUAGGUGAAUGUGUUGGGUGAAAUGAGUGUGCUAAAAUGGUUAUUUAUAGAGAGAGGAUGAUACACAAACUUCAAAUUUCGUCAAUUCCUUUUGCUCCAAGCAUAAGCUAUCCAUUCCAUGCCAAAAAAUGCUCCAAAAUGCUCCAAAAUGCACUUCUUUGCUACAAUAACCCUUUGGACCUACAAACACACGAAAAUAGCUUAAAAUACAUAAUUAACUAAGAAAUAACAACAUAAAUGCAUGAGAACAAGCUAACUUAGUCGCAUAAAUAUACUCCUAUCAGUGUCUCAAAAUGAAUGAAAUGGGCUUGUAUUUAUAGAAUUUUCCAAGGCCUAAUUUUGAAUAUAAUAUUCCAGAUGAAAUAAAUCAUCUCUGUCAGGUGUUGACACAUGUCAUAUUUGAUGCCUUUUCUGACUCAUUUCAAUUUUUUCGUUGAGUCACAUGCUACGUGUAAAAUUUAUGUAAUACAUGAGCGUUGAAACUUUGAUUUAUCAGUCAACAUCUAUUUACCGAAAUUUCGAUGUCUACAAUGUGUUUGUAGAAUUGUAGGAGAAUGUGUGUGUUAUCCCUCCUACAUAGUGCCUUUAUUUAUAGUAGUAAAAGGAGAGAAUAUAUUCCUUCAUCUCCAAGGAAUACAAGAUAUAAUAGGAAAUGAUAACUAGAAUCAAAUAUAAUCUAGGAUUUAUACAAUCACACUUAAACUACGAAUGUUUACAACACUCCCCCUUGAGUGUGAAAAUACUCAAGGUAGAUUUAGCAUCCUGCAGAAGUUGAGAAAGUCGACUCGUCGACACUGAUUCUAAAGAAUAAUGCUUAUUCUCAAUAAGGGAGGAACUUGCAUAAGUAAAUGAGUCUCACUAAAAAACCUUAAGGCUAUGGCAAAAACCCAAGUAGGGACAAAAUCCAUAGUCUAAGGAAAAAUGCGUGAGAAAUGCAAGUUAAAAGGAACGUCUAUGGGACGUUCUCAAGGAUAUGAUCAGCUCAAGGUAGGUGCCUCGUUAAAACCUUGUUAGGUAGCAAAAAUUCAGUGUGAAAAAUGCUCAUAAUCGUAGGGAAAAAUAGUACAUUAAGAUCAAGCAAGUAUCUUCAGGAUACUCCCCCUGAGUUUAACACAAUUCCAAAGAGAAAUAGCAAUGUUACAACUCAGAAAGUUUACGUAUACCAAUUCCAUGAAUAAGCUUCUGAAACGUCGUAUUCGGUAGUGAUUUGGUGAAGAGGUCGGCUAGAUUGUCCUGUGAAUGGAUUUGCGUGACUUCAAUGCUCUUGUCAUUUUUAGGGCUGGUUCGGUAUGAGAUACCGAAUCGAAACCCUUGUCCCGAUUACCAAACCGAAGUUUUUGAGAAUCCUAAUUUCAGGACCGAUCCCAAUCCAAGUUUUCAUGAAUCUCGAAAUAGUUUUGGGAUUUCAGGACAAAUCAAGAAUCCCGAAAUAGUUUUGGGCUCGUGUGUCCAAACAAUCGUAACAACAUAAAAACUUCAUUUACAGCUAAACAGUGUAGCUAAAGUAGCAAAAACACACACGAAUUCAGAGAAAGUCUCGGCAAAACAUUCUGCUAUUACUACAUUCAUCGAAAAAUAAAGAAAAAUAUCCUCCCCCAGAAUCUCCAAGGCAAGAAACCAAACUCAUUGGCCUAAAUUCUCUCAUGCAUGUAAAGAAAGAGAGGGGAUUGUAAGAAACAUAGAAUUCAAAUAUGUAUUGGAUGGUAUCUUACUAAUAAAACAAAGGGUUAAACUCUGUUUACUACCCUGAAGUUUUGUGGUUUUCAACAUUUAGUACAUCAAGUUUUUUUCG